rnacentral:lncRNA from 1 species
GAAACUAAAAGUAUUUUAAUACAUAAAUCUGUACAGUCCAUAUGACACACUCACAUUUUACAUAUUCUCCUGGCUUAUUAAAACAUUUAAAAACACUCCAGAAUUUGAAAAUUUAAUAAUAUUCACCUACUAACACAUAUAAAUCACUGAAUGGUCAAAAUGUUUUUAUUUAAGCAUGUAUAUGUUCAGUGACUCUCAAGUUAACUAGGUUCAUUUUCCCUAAAGAUAUAGUAAUUCCAUGUAUAACCUUAAAAGUUUGCUGAGGCAAAAGACACCUUGCAACAUGAAGCAUUAUGAUUAAACAAUUACACUAAAACUUAUCCCUAAACCUGGAAAUUGUCACUGCUGGCUAAAUUCUUAAAAGAAGUUCACUACUGUUAAAACUCUGCUCAGUUUUUUCCCAGUACAAUUUCUGUAUCCUUAU